UCUUACAUUCUAUACCUCUAGAAAUGAAUGCCAACAUUGCAUUUGCCUUAUUCACCAACUCAACCUGGAGCUUAACCUUUAGGGUAUCCUGCACAAGGACUCCCAAGUUCCUUUGCACUUUGAAUUCUCUCUCCAUCUAAGUAAUAGUCUUCCCUUUUAUUCCUUCCACCAAAGUACAUGACCAUACACUUUCCGAUUUUGUAUUCCAUUUGCCACUUUUUUGCCCAUUUCCCUGAACUAUCAAAGUCUCUCUGCAGGCUCUCUGUUUCCUCAACACAACCCGCUCCUCCAUUUUAUCUUUGUACUAUUGGCAAGUUUAGCCACAAAUCCAUUAAUUCCACAGUCCAAAUCAUUAACAUACAUCAUAAAAAGCAGCGAACCCAACACUGACCCUUGUGAAAAUCCACUGGUAACUGGCAGCCAGCCAGAAUAGGAUCCCUUUAUUCCCACUCUCUGUUUUCUGCUGAUCAGCCAAUGCUCCACCUAUGCUAGUAACUCCCCUGUAAUUCCAUGGGCUCUUAUCUUGCUAAGCAGCCUCAUGUGUGUCACCUUGUCAAAGACCUUCUGAAAAUCCAAGUACACCACAUCUACUGCAUUUCCUAUUUGCUGCUACAUCUCCCUACAUUACAAGAGCUACCAUAUUUCAAGGCGAGGCUCUAAGGGCAAAUGAUUCCCAAGUUUUCUACUGAUUGAAAGACAUCCUGGCUCAGGGUACGGCUUUACCAGGAUGGAGAGGUGACUUCCCGAGAAAUCUGCUGAACGCGCUUUGAAAUAGGUCAGAACAUGAUGAUGGUGAUGUACCAGCAGGCUACAGUGCAUGCAUCAGCACUUUUUCAAGAUUUCUGCAGCUGAAAACUGGAGUG